rnacentral:rRNA from 1 species
CAUGCAAGUCGAACGAGAAUCUGCUGAAGGAGGAUUCGUCCAACGGAAGUAGAGGAAAGUGGCGGACGGGUGAGUAACGCGUGAGGAACCUGCCUUGAAGAGGGGGACAACAGUUGGAAACGACUGCUAAUACCGCAUGACGCAUAGAGGUCGCAUGAUCUUUAUGCCAAAGAUUUAUCGCUUCAAGAUGGCCUCGCGUCUGAUUAGCUAGUUGGCGGGGUAACGGCCCACCAAGGCGACGACCAGUAGCCGGACUGAGAGGUUGAACGGCCACAUUGGGACUGAGAUACGGCCCAGACUCCUACGGGAGGCAGCAGUGGGGAAUAUUGGGCAAUGGGCGCAAGCCUGACCCAGCAACGCCGCGUGAAGGAAGAAGGCUUUCGGGUUGUAAACUUCUUUUAAGAGGGAAGAGCAGAAGACGGUACCUCUAGAAUAAGCCACGGCUAACUACGUGCCAGCAGCCGCGGUAAUACGUAGGUGGCAAGCGUUGUCCGGAUUUACUGGGUGUAAAGGGCGUGCAGCCGGGUCUGCAAGUCAGAUGUGAAAUCCAUGGGCUCAACCCAUGAACUGCAUUUGAAACUGUAGAUCUUGAGUGUCGGAGGGGCAAUCGGAAUUCCUAGUGUAGCGGUGAAAUGCGUAGAUAUUAGGAGGAACACCAGUGGCGAAGGCGGAUUGCUGGACGAUAACUGACGGUGAGGCGCG